GGCCUGGUGGUGUAGCGGUAACACACUUCGCUAGAAAUGUUGCUCGGCAUUCUAAACAUUUUCAACAGGAGUUCCUUGCUCGAAUCAAGGCUGGGCCU